rnacentral:rRNA from 1 species
GGGGAAUAUUGGACAAUGGGCGAAAGCCUGAUCCAGCCAUGCCGCGUGUGUGAAGAAGGUCUUCGGAUUGUAAAGCACUUUAAGUUGGGAGGAAGGGCUGCAAGUUAAUACCUUGUAGUUUUGACGUUACCAGCAGAAUAAGCACCGGCUAACUUCGUGCCAGCAGCCGCGGUAAUACGAAGGGUGCAAGCGUUAAUCGGAAUUACUGGGCGUAAAGCGCGCGUAGGUGGUUAUAUAAGACAGAUGUGAAAUCCCCGGGCUCAACCUGGGAACUGCAUUUGUGACUGUAUAGCUAGAGUACGGUAGAGGGUGGUGGAAUUUCCUGUGUAGCGGUGAAAUGCGUAGAUAUAGGAAGGAACACCAGUGGCGAAGGCGACCACCUGGACUGAUACUGACACUGAGGUGCGAAAGCGUGGGUAGCAAACA